rnacentral:tRNA from 1 species
AAAGGGAGACCUAAUUCAGGUAGGAGGCGAAAAAAAAGUAGUCGCUACCAAGAAUCAAUCCCAAAAGGUCGGAGCGAGGCGAAAUUGGCUUUCAAACUAGGUUCUGGGUUCACACAAGACCUGAAUCAGGAACAAGGGCUAUUAGCUCAGGUGGUUAGAGCGCACCCCUGAUAAGGGUGAGGUCCCUGGUUCGAGUCCAGGAUGGCCCACCUGCACAGGUGGCAAAAACAAGAGAAGCUCCGAAUCAGCACCUUAUCUUACUGACAUAGUAAGAGAGAAUGCUGGCUCUGAGUAAAGAGUCCAGAGGAACCUUGAAAACUGCAUAGAGCUAGGUGAAAAAGCCAAAAAAGAAGACCGCAAG